ACGAAAGUCUGACGGAGCAACGCCGCGUGAGUGAAGAAGGUUUUCGGAUCGUAAAACUCUGUUUCAGGGACGAAUGUGCAGAUUGUAAAUAAUGAUUUGUAAUGACGGUACCUGAGUAGAAAGCCACGGCUAACUACGUGCCAGCAGCCGCGGUAAUACGUAGGUGGCAAGCGUUGUCCGGAAUUAUUGGGCGUAAAGCGCGCGCAGGUGGGAUAUUAAGUCUGGUGUUAAAGUUCGGGGCUCAACCCCGUGAAGCAUUUGGAAACUGAUAUUCUUGAGUGCAGGAGAGGAAAGUGGAAUUCCUAGUGUAGCGGUGAAAUGCGUAGAUAUUAGGAGGAACACCAGUGGCGAAGGCGACUUUCUGGACUGUGUCUGACACUGAGGCGCGAAAGCCAGGGUAGUGAACGGGAUUAGAUACCCCGGUAAUCCUGGCCGUAAACGAUGGGUACUAGGUGUUGGGGGUAUCGACCCCUCCAGUGCCGGAGUUAACGCAAUAAGUACCCCGCCUGGGGAGUACGGCCGCAAGGUUG
rnacentral:rRNA from 1 species